rnacentral:rRNA from 2 species
AUACAUGCAAGUCGAGCGGAUCUUCAUUAGCUUGCUUUUGAAGAUCAGCGGCGGACGGGUGAGUAACACGUGGGCAACCUGCCUGUAAGACUGGGAUAACUUCGGGAAACCGGAGCUAAUACCGGAUAAUCCUUUCCCUCUCAUGAGGGAAAGCUGAAAGACGGUUUCGGCUGUCACUUACAGAUGGGCCCGCGGCGCAUUAGCUAGUUGGUGAGGUAACGGCUCACCAAGGCGACGAUGCGUAGCCGACCUGAGAGGGUGAUCGGCCACACUGGGACUGAGACACGGCCCAGACUCCUACGGGAGGCAGCAGUAGGGAAUCUUCCGCAAUGGACGAAAGUCUGACGGAGCAACGCCGCGUGAGCGAUGAAGGCCUUCGGGUCGUAAAGCUCUGUUGUCAGGGAAGAACAAGUACCGGAGUAACUGCCGGUACCUUGACGGUACCUGACCAGAAAGCCACGGCUAACUACGUGCCAGCAGCCGCGGUAAUACGUAGGUGGCAAGCGUUGUCCGGAAUUAUUGGGCGUAAAGCGCGCGCAGGCGGUUCCUUAAGUCUGAUGUGAAAGCCCCCGGCUCAACCGGGGAGGGUCAUUGGAAACUGGGGAACUUGAGUGCAGAAGAGGAGAGCGGAAUUCCACGUGUAGCGGUGAAAUGCGUAGAGAUGUGAGGACACCAGUGGCGAAGCGGCUCUCUGGUCUGUAACUGAC